AACGAACGCUGGCGGCAUGCCUAACACAUGCAAGUCGAACGAAGCCUCCGGGCUUAGUGGCGCACGGGUGCGUAACGCGUGGGAAUCUGCCCUUGGGUUCGGAAUAACAGUUAGAAAUGACUGCUAAUACCGAAUGAUGUCUUCGGACCAAAGAUUUAUCGCCCAAGGAUGAGCCCGCGUCGGAUUAGCUAGUUGGUGAGGUAAAGGCUCACCAAGGCGACGAUCCGUAGCUGGUCUGAGAGGAUGAUCAGCCACACUGGGACUGAGACACGGCCCAGACUCCUACGGGAGGCAGCAGUGGGGAAUAUUGGACAAUGGGCGAAAGCCUGAUCCAGCAAUGCCGCGUGAGUGAUGAAGGCCUUAGGGUUGUAAAGCUCUUUUACCCGGGAUGAUAAUGACAGUACCGGGAGAAUAAG
rnacentral:rRNA from 1 species